CGGACUCUCACUCUCUCUCUAUGAUGAACAAGCUCCGGAAUUUGGUCUUUUCCCUUAAACUCUGUUCGAUCUCCACCGCAAUCCUUUUUCUCUUUCUCUCCGUUCUCGAUCUAACUCAACAAAUUGAGCACUUGGUGGCCACUGUGUUGAUCUAGAUCCAGGGCUUAUGGGCUUAUUCUUUUUGGGUAUUUCAAUUUGGCUCUUUCCAGUCGUUCCUCUUCCUCUCUCGUGCGAGGUCAUUCAACUCAGAUGCUUUCAAUUCAAUGGCGAGGUCAUUCGUGCGAGUUUCGUUCUGUCCGAGCGCAAUUUCGAUUCAACUCGGAUGCUUUCUCUUCUCUGCUGACGGAGAGUUCGCGUCUUGGGUCAGUUCUCAACCUCUUUUUGCUUGGUUUCUGUGUAGAUUGGAGCAGGCCUCUGGCCUCGCAGGUGUGCGUCUAGUGUGACCGGACAGGUUGCUGUCGGAGGUGAUUGGGAUGGAGAUCGGAGACUGGGGCGUUGGGAUUUCGAUCUGUUUGGUUUUUAUUUGAUGACGGUGGCUGCACGGAGACUGGGUGAGCGGAAGAUGGUGGUGACUGGGUGUGUGGCGACGGUCGGGGAUUCGGAUCCGGCAGUAGGGUUGUUGACCCUCUGGGUUUGGGGAUGGAGACGGUGGGAAUAUAGGCUCGGGUGUUGAUCUUCUUCAUGGAAUUGGGCAUGCGAGCUUUGUGUUUGUGGUGGUGGUUGAUGUGUGGUCAACGACGAUUGGGGUUCGGUAUCGGCGCCAAACAGAUUAUGGAGGAGCCUACAAUCCUGCAGCAGUGUCCAAACACGGUGUACUACAUAUUAUCACAUUAUAUUGGUUUAUUUCUUAUUUUCUUUCCAUUCUACUAGUCGGUCACAGUGUAUUAUUAACAUUCGAGGUGUUGCCGACAAGUUUGAUGGAGAGGAUAACAAUAAAGCAAAUGAAGUCGUCCUGAGUAUUGUUGACCUUGCUGGAGCUGAAAGAGAAAAGAGAACUGGGAAUCAGGGAGCAAGGUUGCUUGAAAGUAAUUUCAUCAACAACACAUCGAUGGUUUUUGGCUUGUGCUUGAGAUCCUUAUUGGAGCAUCAGAAGAACCCUAAGAAGCCAAUGCAAAAGCACUUUCAGAACUCAUUGUUGACCAAGUACUUGAGAGACUAUUUGGAAGGCAAGAAGGGG